ACUAAGGAACUUGAAAAGCGUCCUCAAAAAAGACAAUACUUACAAUGUAAUACACGACAGGCAGCAACUGUCGCUUGGCAUUAGGAACAUACAAAAUCAGAUUAACCAAGAUGUUACUUCAAACAACUUAUUUAGUAGUAUUUACAGAGAAAAAUUUGCCAACUAUUUUGUAAAUGAAAGUUCUGGUUACAAUGGCAAUGGGAGAAAGCUGAGAAUGAAUUUUAAAAUAAAUCUGUAGAAAAUGUAUAAGUGAAUGUUUUAGGUAAUUAAAUUUGUUUUAGGCAAUCCUAAUGUCCAUAGGAGAUGAUACUCUCACACAUAUCUUAAAUGGAACAAGAUCUUAAAAAUUUGUGCCGAGAACUCAAAUUGAAGGAAGAAAGAUAUAACGCAUUGAUGCCAC